UACGGGGGGGGGCAAGCGUUGUUCGGAAUUAUUGGGCGUAAAGAGCUCGUAGGCGGUUUGUCGCGUCUGCCGUGAAAGUCCGGGGCUCAACUCCGGAUCUGCGGUGGGUACGGGCAGACUAGAGUGAUGUAGGGGAGACUGGAAUUCCUGGUGUAGCGGUGAAAUGCGCAGAUAUCAGGAGGAACACCGAUGGCGAAGGCAGGUCUCUGGGCAUUAACUGACGCUGAGGAGCGAAAGCAUGGGGAGCGAACAGG
rnacentral:rRNA from 1 species